rnacentral:rRNA from 1 species
UACGUAGGGUGCAAGCGUUGUCCGGAAUUAUUGGGCGUAAAGAGCUCGUAGGCGGUCUGUCGCGUCUGCUGUGAAAAUCCAGGGCUCAACCCUGGACCUGCAGUGGGUACGGGCAGACUAGAGUGCGGUAGGGGAGAUCGGAAUUCCUGGUGUAGCGGUGAAAUGCGCAGAUAUCAGGAGGAACACCCGUGGCUAAGGCGGCUCUCUAGUACGUGACUGACGCUGAGACGCGAAAGCGUGGGGAGCGAACAGG